rnacentral:rRNA from 1 species
UACGAAGGGGGCUAGCGUUGCUCGGAAUCACUGGGCGUAAAGGGCGCGUAGGCGGCGUUUUUAAGUCGGGGGUGAAAGCCUGUGGCUCAACCACAGAAUUGCCUUCGAUACUGGGACGCUUGAGUGUGGUAGAGGUUGGUGGAACUGCGAGUGUAGAGGUGAAAUUCGUAGAUAUUCGCAAGAACACCGGUGGCGAAGGCGGCCAAACUGGACCAUCACUGACGCUGAGGCGCGAAAGCGUGGGGAGCAAACAGG